UAAAAGGGGGCCUGGCUAUAACAUGCAAGUCGAGCGAAUGGAUUAAGAGCUUGCUCUUAUGAAGUUAGCGGCGGACGGGUGAGUAACACGUGGGUAACCUGCCCAUAAGACUGGGAUAACUCCGGGAAACCGGGGCUAAUACCGGAUAACGUUUUGAACCGCAUGGUUUCAAAUUGAAAGGCGGUUUCGGCUGUCACUUAUGGAUGGGCCCGCGGCGCAUUAACUAGUUGGUGAGGUAACGGCUCACCAAGGCAACGAUGCGUAGCCGACCUGAGAGGGUGAUCGGCCACACUGGGACUGAGACACGGCCCAGACUCCUACGGGAGGCAGCAGUGGGAAUCUUCCGCAAUGGACGAAAGUCUGACGGAGCAACGCCGCGUGAGUGAUGAAGGCUUUCGGGUCGUAAAACUCUGUUGUUAGGGAAGAACAAGUGCUAUUUGAAUAGGCUGGCACCUUGACGGUACCUAACCAAAAAGCCACGGCUAACUACUUGCCACCAGCCGCGGUAAUACUUAGGUGGCAACGGUUAUCCGGAAUUAUUGGGCGUAAAGCGCGCACAGGUGGUUUCUUAAGUCGGAUGUGAAGGCCACCGGCUCAGCCGUGGAGGGUCUUUGGAACCUGGGAGACUUAAGUGCAUAAGAGGAAAGUGGAAUUCCAUGUGUAGCGGUGAAAUGCUUAGAGAUAUGAAGGAACACCAGUGGCGAAGGCGACUUUCUGGUCUGUAACUGACACUGAGGCGCAAAGGCGUGGGGAGCAAACAGGAUUACAUACCCUGGUAGUCCACGCCGUAAACGAUGAUUGCUAAUGGUUAGAGGUUCCCGCCCCUUUAG
rnacentral:rRNA from 1 species